rnacentral:rRNA from 1 species
UGAUCCCUACGGGGGGCAGCAGUGGGGAAUAUUGCGCAAUGGGCGAAAGCCUGACGCAGCGACGCCGCGUGAGGGAUGAAGGUCUUCGGAUCGUAAACCUCUGUCAGCAGGGAAGAACGGUCACUGUGCUAAUCAGCAGGGAAUUGACGGUACCUGCAAAGGAAGCACCGGCUAACUCCGUGCCAGCAGCCGCGGUAAUACGGUGGGUGCGAGCGAUAAUCGGAAUUACUGGUCGUAAAGCGCUCGGAGGCGGUAUGUCAAGUCAAGGGUGAAAUCCCCGCGCUCAACGUG